rnacentral:rRNA from 1 species
UAGGUGGCGAGCGUUGUCCGGAUUUACUGGGUGUAAAGGGCGCGUAGGCGGGGAUGCAAGUCAGAUGUGAAAUCCAUGGGCUCAACCCAUGAACUGCAUUUGAAACUGUGUCUCUUGAGUGUCGGAGAGGUAGAUGGAAUUCCUAGUGUAGCGGUGAAAUGCGUAGAUAUUAGGAGGAACACCAGUGGCGAAGGCGAUCUACUGGACGAUAACUGACGCUGAGGCGCGAAAGCGUGGGGAGCAAA